GGACCACUGGACAGGGGUCCUGCCCUUUCGGGGCAGCUGUCCGGUCAAGGCCAUACGGACAGCCGGGUCCACUGCCGA
ncrna:unclassified sequences Streptococcus sRNA SpF59 (ldcC RNA)